rnacentral:misc_RNA from 1 species
UUUCCGUAGGUGAACCUGCGGAAGGAUCAUUAUCGGAUUUUGAAACUCCAGGCUGCUGCUGGCUCUCCUCGGAGGGCAUGUGCACGCUUGUUGUCCAUUAUUUCUCCCACUGUGCACAAAUUGUAGACCUUUCAGUAGGCCUAUGUUGUUCUUCACAAUCUCUGAAUGUAAUAGAAUGGUUUUGAAUCUUGGGAAAUACAAUACAACUUUCAGCAACGGAUCUCUUGGCUCUC